UUGUGGGGUCCCACCAGCUUCUUGCACCGCUCAGGGCAGCAGCACAAGGAGCUGGACUUUGUUAAACCUGUGAGAGGUAGAUGAGAAGGGAAGCUUUACAGAUCUCUCAGACUGAUUUUCGCUUCUCUCUCCAUUUGCCCUCUGGUGUGCAAGAUUUGGCUGCUUUACCUGUAUUUGGAUAACACGUCCCCCACUGGCUUCCACACAGGUAGGAUCUAAAACCACUUACAAACUUUUGUCCAGAGUCAAUUAAUUGGGAAUUUGCAGGUGUGUUCACAGCUCAGAAGCCGUGGUGGAAGUCAGGACAGGACUGUUGAUGCUGCAAACGCAAAAGCCGUGUGUCCUCAUGGAGGAAGGCAAAGAGCAGCAGGAGCCCUAUUGAAUUUCCUUGCUCUUGUGAGCCCAAAUUUGACCUUGCUCUGGUUAUUCCCCCACUAAUGAGGCAGCUGGGGGAGGAUCCCCCAGGUGAAUCCGCUCCCUCCCGCUGCAAGAGGCACAUUUGCUCUUAGGAAACACCUUCCCUGCUUCAGCAGGUAGGAAACUGCAGGCUCUUGCUUUCCAGAAUUACUAUUUUACUAUCUGUUUUUGUUUUUUAAACACAAAAUGUCUUGCUGUGUAUAAACUAUAUUUGUUAUGCAAAUUAACUCACUAAUUAUUUUGCAUUACAUGGUAUGCGAGGUCCCUUAGGGCUAUGCCUGCGUUUCAUCCAGGCUUGGGGUCUGUGAGCAGCAGGGACAGAGCUGCCCAGGCCUCCUGCCACCCCUUUGGGGACCCCAAACCUCGUGCCACCCGCUUUGGGACCCCAAACCUCCUGUCUUGGGGACUCGCUGCCCCAGCCCACAAAUACCAACACAGCUGUGGAUAAAGAACAAACCAAACCAGAGCACGUUGAGGUCACUGCCUAAGAAAUUUCCUGAUUAUUAGGCUUUGAGAAAAAACUGGCUGCUACUAUUGCCUGAGACUAAUAAACUUGAAGCUGCUGCUUCCACCAAAUAAUUAUUGGAGUUUCAUUUAACUGAUACAUAACAGGCUGUUAACUGGGAAGGAUAACUAUAGUUUAAUAGCACAGGAUCUUCACGAAGUGGGAUGAAUCUCACCCUGGGGCAGAGUGAUUACCCAUGGAAAUAACACCACUUUAGCUCUGUUUUUGAAGUCUUUUGAUAUUCUGAAAUGGUGCAGGAAGGAUGAAUGGCUACCUUUAGACAAAACAUUUCCAUCUUUGCUCAGGUAUUUUUGUGUGAGUCCUUUGCACACACACAGAGAAUUCAAGACAGACCAGCAAAUAUAUAUAUAUAUAUAUAUACAUUUAUUUUCUUUCUUUUUCUCAUGUUGCUUCAUGCAUUGACCUCACUUUUGCUGGAAGGGCAGAGCAGAUCAAAAGUAGGUAUUUUCUCUCUUUACACCUUUAUGCAAGGGGACUUUGGCUGUUUGCAGGUGACUUAGGAUACCUCGGUGACCUACAGAUGGAAACAGAGGGAAUUCUGUUCUUCCUUCUGCAAGAGAGUUUAGCAAGAGAUGCCUGCCUUUUAAUGGGAAUCCUCGCAGCUAACUGAGAAAUAAAAAAAGGAAAAUAAGGUGAGUUAAGGUAUGGACAGCUCAAAUGAACACACCGCAUUUCAAAGACAAUGAAGUGCGAAAAAUGUUCCAUCAGCUCUUUCUAGCAAGCUCAGUAGCUCCAUGCGAAGGUCCCCUCUCUGCAGGUGUUGCGUGAUUGUAACAGCAACACCUGGAGAAGGAGAGUAAUUAACUGAGGGAGGAACAACAUCAGCUGUGUCUUGCUUUAUAAAGGCUGUGCUGAUGGCAAGAGGUGUUUUUGCUCUCCCUCCUCCUCUCUCUCUGAUCAGCCUGCAAAUCCCACCCUGGGCAGAGGGUCCUCUCCAGGAUAACCAGCCAGUAUAAAAGAGCAGCGCGGGUUGGCUUUGCAGUUGUGCUGGUGUGGUACCCAACCUCAGCAUCAGGUGGAAGCGCAAAGCCCAGGACACCCCAUUUGAGUCCCCUCUGAACAAAAGCUGCGAAUCUGACUGCAGAGACACAGGGAAGCCCUGAGGUGUUUGGUUCCCAAAGCCCUGGUGACUUCAGCAGACCCUGAGCUUACAGUGAUGCAGCAUCAUCCCAGCCCCAGGAUUCCGAUGUGGACCUGGCAGCACCUGGUGCUGAUUUGAAGAAAAAACAACAACAAAAACGAACAAAAACCCAAACCUCCUUGAAGAUGAGAUAAUCCUGGUGGAACAAUCCUGUAAUAUCGGCUGAGACCUGCACGCAAGACUGGAUUGUGAACUUUCUAAUGGGAACAUUUUGGAUGUGUGCAGUGUGGUGCAUCUAAUGUUAAUUCCCCUAAUUCUGUUCUUGAAGUUUUUGGUCCUUUAGACUUAAAAGGCAGAACUGGGUAUUCUUUGUGCUUGGGAAAGGAGACAAAAACUUAACAGGCUCAAAAUGGGCUUUUUUUUUUUAAUUAAGGUUGCAUAAAAACUGCAAACUCCUCUGAAUAAUUCUCAUCAACUGCCUGAAGAGUUCCUCAGCUGAAUUGUAAAUCACUAUAUAGUGCACUCCAAAAAAAUAUAGAAAUAUGGGCAUAAAUGUGUUUUGGAGUUGUCUCAUCUGGCAUUCUGUAAGGUAGUUAAAUCAAGGAGACUUUCUGAUCUAUAGAAGGGUCAGUGUAGGAGGGCAGCGCUUUGAACCAUGGUCUCAUUAAGCCACUAUUGCCUUCCCAGAUUGUUUAUAACAGAGGACUUAUUCCUAAGCAGUCAGUAACUGGAGAACAUAAAUCACAGUGCAGAAAGAGUUAUUCGCAGUUUAUGGGCCGGAUCCUCAUGUGGUAUAAAUCACUGUUGCCCCAAUGGUGUCACCUGAGCUACGAUUUAUACAACCGAAAGAUCUGUCUCAUACUGUUCACACUUUAUUGGCUUUUAUUGACUCACUCUGUAGACACAGAUUUUCAAAUAUAAAAUGAAGGUGGAGGAAACUGAGGUAUGUGAAAAGUAAUUUUGUAACAUUUUCAAGCAACAAUCUGAAUUGUUCUCUUCCCCCUCUACUUUUUAAAAUAAACAGUUACCAUAUGAA